UAGCCAAGUGCCGGCCAUAAGUAGGGUACACUUUGUGGAUAUCAGCAGACACUUCCCAUGUGGCUCUCAUGUCAUGCCAGAACCACGGUCAAAAAGGUUAAUAGGGAACACAGGCAUGGCCAGACAAUCUUGGCUUCACCUUAACAGACAGCCGAACUGAGGCACAGAUCUCUCCAUGCAGCUCACUCUUAAUGGAGCACCAGUUACAGGAAAGGACCCCAAAGGUCUGAGCGAUUCCAUGGUGACCCACUAGCAUGAAGAACACUAUUUUAACCCCUUCAAAAGAAUGUGCAUGAGAAUCUGGAAACCACCAGAUGGGCACUAAACCCACCCCAGCUUUCUCCAGCUAAUUAGUUACCACACAAAGCAGAACAGCAUGGAUCAUUACCUAUGAGCAGUGUAAAAUAAAUGCACUUGUCGGGGAAUCGAAGCAGAUCCUCAAAUCUGCCCCAGCAGCCCCCAAAUAUUUCCACUCAAUGCAACAUCCCAGUCCUCUCUGUCUCUGCCCUGCCAGAAGGACAGCAUGGAAGCCGGCCCUCCGACUUUGGCUGGGGUCUGAUGUUCAAGAGUUAAACAGCAGGAACAUCUAGUGGCUGUCACUGCUGAUCUCCCCAUCUGUGUCUGGAGCCCCGACCUGUCCGUGACUUCAGGCAGCAAGAGAAACAGAAGCACGGGAAGGCGAUGGGGGCAGCAGCAUGAACGGAGAAGGUGAGAGGCCUCCGCCACCUUGCGCGGCCCUGUGUCACUUACAAGG